rnacentral:lncRNA from 1 species
UUUUUUUUAUUUCUCCUCUCUACGACUUUUUCAUCUUCUUCGUUUCUCUCUGUCUCGAGUCAACAAUCCGACAAACACAAAGCUUUCAAUCUCUUUUCUUCUUUUUUUUUCUCUCUUUUCUCGAUUCCAUCGAUACUCAUUCAUCUUUUUCAUCUUCCCUCUUCACUCGUUUCUAUCGAUCCAAAGAUCCGUCCUCUCCCUUCUUCUUCGUGAGAAAUUCGCAGUGAAAUCGAGAAAUCCGCCGUGAGAAAUCCGCCGUGAGAACUCCGCCGUGUCUUCUCUUUGUAAGAUUUCAUUUGUUUGAUCCCUAAUUUUGUUUUAUUGUGUUGGGUUUAAUUAGGAUUUGAUUUCUUCCAAUUUAUUCUUCUAUGUGAGGGUUUGAUAUGUAAUUCUCUUUGAUUUUGUUUGAAACAAAUGCAUUUUGAAUGGAAUUUCGAUUACAAUUAGGAUUUUUUAUGAUUACAGUUCGGAUUUUAAGAUUACUAAUAGGAUUUGAAUUACAAUUCGGGUUUGAAAUUCGGACGACAUGUAGCUACUUUUUCUUGUUUUUAUUUGGAGAUAUUGAGUGAAAGUUGUAACUUUGUUUGUAAACUCUUCUUAAAAUGAUUGAUUUCUCUUGGUCAAUUUUGGAAGAAAUCUGGUUUCAAGUAAGUUAAUAAGGAGUGGAUUGCAGACAUAGAUGAAAUUUUUUGUACGUAUAUAUUAGCCUAUAACAUUUGUUUCUCUAUUACGAGAGGAGGAAAAGGAAAAGGAGACUGAGACUGAGACUGAGAAGGAGAAGGAGAAAGAGAAGGAUAAGGAGAAGAAGAAGCAGAAGAAGACUUGGUGUGUUCAGAUGUGUUUUGGUUUCUAAUGUUAUGUAUGAAUCUAAGUGUUUAGGUACAACUGGUACACUUAUGUACAACUAUGUAUCUGGGUUUGUAUGAAUCUAAGUUUUUUUGACAGAAAAAUCACCAAAAAACUAUGAGUCAAAGUGUUUUGAUCAAAAAAUUCACAACAACACUAUGAAUCUACUAAGUAU